GAGAUCGUUGGUGAGGGACUACUACGGCGAGCUCGGCCUGAGGAAAGAUGCCGGCAGGGUGAGAUCAAGAACAUGAAUUGAAUGGUAUGCAGUACUAUUGGGCUUGGCAUUAUUUUUCCAGCGAAUUGUGUUUUUCUCUGAGAUGAAUUAAGUGCACCAAAUAUAUGUAUCUAAAUUAUUGUAGUCUUUAUUUUUAUCCAUUACGUCUAAAAAUUGAUGUUCAAAACUGUCUUCCGAGAGUAGUUUUAGUUGGUACAAGUUUGAGGCACCAAAUACACAAGAAUUAUACUUCCUCUGUAUCAUAAUAGAUGUCAUUCUAGCAGUUCAACACAUUACGGUACAGAGGGAGUUUUUGCUAAAUGAGAGGCAUAAGCAUGCUCAGUUAAGCUGAUUCACUUUUAUGCUUAGAAACCAAAUCACCUUUCACUCAUUAUUAGUGGUAAUGGUUGUCUCUGUGUUUUUGUCUUAUCAAAUACUCCCUCCGUCCCAUCAUGUAAGAGUUUUUUGACCCUACACUAGGGUCAAAAAAUGUCUUACAUUAUGUCAAAAAACUCUUACAUUAUGGGAAGGAGGGAGUAUGUGCCUAGGCCUCUAUGUUAACCAGUUCCAAAAACAUGCCUGAAAAAAUAUUGCUUGGACUUUUGAAGUUGUUCCGAGUGGAAUGCUGGUCAUAGAUGCGACGCGCCAAGCUCCCGCAACCGCAGCAGAGGAGCGGGAACUUGCAGCAACAUCUACGACACCCUCCCAACGAGCUGCAGGUAGGCCAUGUUGUAGACGAUGGCCCGACGACAAC
rnacentral:lncRNA from 1 species